rnacentral:rRNA from 1 species
UACGUAGGGUGCGAGCGUUGUCCGGAAUUAUUGGGCGUAAAGAGCUCGUAGGCGGUGUGUCACGUCGGCCGUGAAAACCUGCAGCUUAACUGUGGGCGUGCGGUCGAUACGGGCAUCACUGGAGUUCGGCAGGGGAGACUGGAAUUCCCGGUGUAGAGGUGAAAUUCGUAGAUAUCGGGAGGAACACCGGUGGCGAAGGCGGCGACCUGGGUCGAUACUGACGCUGAUGCGCGAAAGCGUGGGGAGCAAACAGG